GACGAACGCUGGCAGCGUGCCUAACACAUGCAAGUCGAGCGACGAACCAGGGCCUGCCCUGGGGCAAAGCAGCGAACGGGUGAGUAACACGUGGGUAACCUACCCCGAUAACCGGGACAACCCGAGGAAACUCGGGCUAAUACCGGACGUGCUCACUGAACUUCGGUUCAGUGCGUAAAGGAAGCUUCGGCCUCCGUAUCGGUAGGGGCCCGCGGCCCAUUAGCUAGUUGGUGCGGUAACGGCUCACCAAGGCCGAGAUGGGUAGCUGGUCUGAGGGGACGAUCAGCCAGACUGGGACUGAGACACGGCCCAGACUCCUACGGGAGGCAGCAGUGGGGAAUCUUGCGCAAUGCGCGAAAGCGUGACGCAGCAACGCCGCGUGGGGGAAGAAGGCCUUCGGGUUGUAAACCCCUUUCAGGAGGGACGAAGGUUCGGCGGUGAAUAGCCGUCCGGACUGACGGUACCUCCACAAGAAGCCCCGGCUAACUACGUGCCAGCCGCCGCGGUAA
rnacentral:rRNA from 1 species